rnacentral:lncRNA from 1 species
AGGUAACUGGGAGGAGUCUAGCCUGAAGGUCAGAAGCUUGGGACAUUGUCUACAUGACUACUAGCCACAUGCUUCUCUUGUGGGGACUGUGGGAGCGGUAACUUCAACAGGAGCCAGGGGUCCAGGAGACACGAGGGACCGCCUUCCGUCCCAUGUAGUUGGGAAUUACCACCACCAGGUUUUACCGGGGUUCAAACCUCAACUCGACUGGAGACCAGACUGUCUGUGUAUAACCCAAAUCCCCACAACCAACCAUUGAUAAUCAUGCUGGAGGCAACCAACAGUACCACCCAAAAAGGCAAAUUGAAAGUCAUCUACUCUGAACACCUCUGGAGAUUAAGUUUAGUCUGUGGAAGCACCAUCUGACUAGGACACAAGAGGAAAGAUUUGGUGAAACUGUAGAUCCCAUGUCAGGGGUCCUUGUGAGACAUCACUGGAGCCCCCUGGUCUAUUGGACAGAUGAAUGUUUGGUAGCUGGUUACCUGCAUUUGUCUGACUUAUCUGGUGGCUGUUAUUUGUAUCUGCAUUGUCCCUGUCUUUUUAAGUCAGUUUGUCACUCGCCUUUGCCAUAGGAGAAUCAAGGGAGCUUCCCAAGGACCCCUCUAAAAUAUAUGUUAAAAACUCUUGAAAGGGCUUCUUGCCUGGGGACAAUGAUAGUGUUCAUUUAUCUCCAGUAAGACUCCACCCUCUUUGUGAACUUGAGUGGCCCUCUUUUGAAGGAGGAUGGCUGCCUGAGGAAUCUUUAGAUCGGCAACCUUUUUCCUUCAUCCAACCCCAUGGUUGAAGACUUAUUCUCUUUCCUUGGGAGUCAGGGUUCCUAUUGAUCAGGCCAGAAUACUCAGAGAAGCAGAAAGUACUAAAGGUUUCCCCUGCUCCACCCAAAGAGAUAGACGUACAUCUCUUAUUUAUAUUCUGAGUGGACCAGUGGGAAAUUCAAGAGCUCUUGAGGAAAUUGUUCUCCGCAGCAGGGAGGACAGAGGGCCAAUUCUACUACUACCGAUCCUUCUGUCCGCUGUGCACAAGGAGCAGCUCUGCCUAUGGGGAGGUCAGGCAGGCUUUGUCUGAGGCUGCGUGACCAUUGUUCUUUCUCCCAUUGAAGGAAGAACUGGGACCCUAUUACACAUAAGAGGAAGAUGAGGAAACAGGGAAAGGUCCCCUGACUCUAUUUAUGGGGUAUGUUCCCUUCUCCACCAAUGAUUCAUUAUAAUUGGAAGACCCACAAGCCUCUCUUUUUCCUAGAAGCCACAUGUCCUCAUUGGUCUGUUAAGAGACUGUUGUCUAUACAAGCCAGUUGACUUGGGAUGACUGUCAGCACCUCCUGGCCACCCUGAAGGAAGCAGAGGAGCGAGAAAGUAGAAAGUUGGCUCUGGGGUUGGGCAACAGGACACUUCCAGAUGCAGAGGCCCGGACAGAGCAAACCUUUCCCUUUAUUUGACCUUUUUGUGAUCUUAAUAUUCAUGCAGAUAAGGGGCACUGGAUACUUUUCACCAAACUUUAUUGGGAGGGUUAAAUGUAGAAGUCAGAAAAUCUACCAACUUACCCAAGGUAAGUCAGUUACUCAAGGACCCGCUGAAUCACCCACUGGAUUUCUGGAAAGGUUCUGUGAAGUACAGCAAGUACUUACCCACAUAGACCUAGAUACCCCUACCCCAGAGACUAGAGAGCCACUAAUACUGCCUUUGUUAUGCAGUCAGCCAGACAUAAAGAGAAAACUCCAGAAAUUAGAGGAAUUUGGAGGAAUGAAUGGCUCUCAACUUUGAAAACUCUUCAAAGUUUACCACAGCUGAGAUUCAGCUGAGGACAGGGAAAGAAACUCUUCUGGGUGGUGAUCACUGCCCUCAGGGAAACAGACAAGAGAGGAAAUAGGGGAGCUAGACCAGGAGAAAGGGGAAAGAACCAGUCUGCCUAUUGUAAGCAGAAGGCCCACUGCAAGAAGGAAUGCCCUAGCAGGAAAGAAAGAGAAGGCGAGCUGCCCAAUCCUACAGCUAGCUGAAAUCGGAUGGGGCCAGGCCUCCACGUGACUUAGCCCUUAGGAGCCCAGGAUGAGAGUGAGAAUAGGGGGCAAGUCCAUCAACUUUGUAAUAGACACUAAACAGCACACUCCUGUUUUAACAGGAUCCCUAGUAAUCUGUAGCUCUGUAAUCUGGAAGACAGCAGUCCAAGGAGCAAUAGGCCAAAUGGCUUAUUUUCAUAGACAACCUGUAGAACAGUAGAACUAGGGACAAGAUACCGUGAGAUAUUCUCAUUAUGCCAGACUGCUCAGACCCACUGAUCAAGAAGGGACCUAUUACAAAAACCCAGAGUCACCAUCUCUUUGGGGGAAAGAUUUGGCCAGUCUAACUCUGGACUCAGGCCAAGCCCCUACCAGUAUUCUGGUCACCUGUCCUCCACCAAGGAGUACUUCUUAUACGAGGACUUGGUCACAAGAAAGGAAGACCUAUCCUCAGGCUACCCGCAGGAACUCAAAGCAAGGUACCCUGAUGUUUAGGCUGAGUGGAACUCACCAGUAUUAGCAUCAUACUGGCCACCCAUCAUAGUUCAGUUAUUAUGUUCUGCAAGGCCAGUAUGGGUCAAAUAGUACCCCAAUGGGCCAAGAAGCCAAGCAAAGGAUCGCCAAAAACACUAAUUGAUUGAGGGGGCAUGAAUUCUUGUUCCUUGCCACUCCUCAUGGAACAUUCAUCCUCUUGCUCCCUGUCCUGAAACACAAUACUUGAGACUUUGAUCAGUACAGGAUUUAACAGAAGUCAAUAAAUGAGUGAAAACCAUCC